rnacentral:lncRNA from 1 species
AUUUUGAAAAGCUCUUACUAGUUAUCAUUUACAAGAAGUUCACAGGUUCCAGAAAACACUGGACAGCAUUCGGGGAAAGAGAAGGGACCUAGAUGGAGAAACCUGAUCAGUGUGGCCAGAGCAUCCUGGGGGAAGUGCACUGAGAGAUGACGGGGCAAAUGCACGUGGGUGGAGGGAAGACGAGCAACGCAGAUGGCAAGGACACUGUCCAGACAACCUCCCAACUCAGGAGAAGGGACUGAAUCUAAGAGGAGAAGAGGAGGGACUCCAAAGUUGUCUGCACUCCUUCGGAGCCACAAGGACACUGGUCUUGAAAUUUCAGUGAACUGUGAAACAAAGCACUGAUCUGCUCCUGUUCCACCGUGAUGCCUCCAGUCUCUGGGCCUCAAGGGAAGAUAGUAUUUGUUCAUUCUACAGACACUUAUUUAGGACGUACUACUUGUCAGGUGCUCCAGGAGUAUGUGUCCAGACACCAAGGUGGGCAGCAGACUUCGGAAGCUGAAUCCUUUGGUACCUGGAGCGGGAUGGCAAUGGAGCCACACAAAGAAUGGCCCAGAGCACUGGGGAGGCUGCCUUCCCAGCAAAAGGAAAUUCAGGCCAUGAAGCCAGACAGAGAAGGACAUGGAUGACAAUUGGAUAAUGAGUGUUGGCAUCAAAAAGCAUUGAAAAUAAGUCAGUAGAUAAUUAAACUUGGAAUGUCAGAAAAUCUUACAGCUUAUGUAUAAUCAAAUGAAACUAAACUUGAUAGAGUGUUCCCCAGAUUUGACAAUAAUUUUAAAAAUUUAUGACACUGCCUAUAAUGGGUUUUGAAACUCAAAGUUUUCUAAAUCAAUAACAACUGUAAUUAUUGAGUAAUUAAUCUCUCAUGAUAGUGGAAAGAAUAAAUUUUUUCCCUUCUUGCUAAAAGAGUGAUAUUAUAAAACCUGUUAUAUGUAGCAAAAAAUUUGGUAAAAAUUAUUAUAAGGUUUAUAUAGGUUUAU